rnacentral:rRNA from 1 species
AUGACUAAGGACAAUCUAGCUAGGAGAGUUAUAGAAAAAACACCAGAGUGUGUGUAUUGCUCCGAGAAAUAAUCCAUCACACACCUAUUCUUUGAAUGUGUGGAGGCCAAACAAAUCUGGGCAAGAAUAUUAGAUUUUUUGGGCAUAGAAAUAGGAGCUAAUUGCCUGUCCAUUGCUAGAUUUUGGCCUGCAAAUAAGAAACAUACUACUUUAAAUUCAGUCUGUGCAUGUGUUCUAUGGACUAUGUGGAAAAAUAGGAACUCACAUGUCUUUAACAAUGCUUUGUGGACUGAUAUGAAGCAGGUUUGGAGGAGAAUGCUAGGACAUGCCAGGAGAUGGCUGAUCUUGUUCGAAGGACCAGCCUUGGCAAGAAUGGAGAUGUUAGUUCAGAACAUCUCCUCCAUCCUGGAAGCUCCUUUCCAAAUUAUGACAGAGUAG